UACGUAGGGUGCGAGCGUUAAUCGGAAUUACUGGGCGUAAAGCGUGCGCAGGCGGUUCGCUGUGUCUGCGGUGAAAGCCCCGGGCUCAACCUGGGAAUGGCCGUGGAAACUGGCGGGCUGGAGUGUGGCAGAGGGGGGUGGUAUUCCGCGUGUAGCAGUGAAAUGCGUAGAGAUGCGGAGGAACACCGAUGGCGAAGGCAACCCCCUGGGCUGACACUGACGCUCAGGCACGAAAGCGUGGGGAGCAAACAGG
rnacentral:rRNA from 1 species